rnacentral:rRNA from 1 species
UACGUAGGGUCCGAGCGUUGUCCGGAGUUACUGGGCGUAAAGCGCGCGCAGGCGGCGGUGUUGGCCCGGCGUGAAAGCCCCCGGCUCAACCGGGGAGGGUCGUCGGGGACCGCACCGCUUGAGGGCGGUAGGGGCUGGUGGAAUGCCUGGUGUAGUGGUGAAAUGCGUAGAGAUCAGGCGGAACACCUGUGGCGAAGGCGGCCAGCUGGGCCGUCCCUGACGCUGAGACGCGAAAGCGUGGGGAGCGAACAGG